UCAACAUAAUCUUAAUGAAAAUUAUUAUAUCUGUUCCAUGCUGUUGAAUUUCACUCUGUAACAAAUGCAAGGCCAAAGUGCUCAUUAUUUCAGGCCGGUACAGGAUAAAGAGUCUGUGCUGGAAAGUGAUAAGAAGUUUGAGAAAACAAUGCUGUUCUUUAAAACAACACCCUGAUGCUUUCCCCCC